rnacentral:rRNA from 1 species
UACAGAGGUCUCAAGCGUUGUUCGGAUUCAUUGGGCGUAAAGGGCGCGUAGGCGGUGGGGUAAGUCUGGUGUGAAAUCUCGGAGCUCAACUUCGAAAUUGCACUGGAUACUGCUCUGCUAGAGGGCUGGAGAGGAGAUCGGAAUUCACGGUGUAGCAGUGAAAUGCGUAGAUAUCGUGAGGAAGACCAGUGGCGAAGGCGGGUCUCUGGACAGUUCCUGACGCUGAGGCACGAAGGCCAGGGGAGCAAACGGG